rnacentral:rRNA from 1 species
UCCGUGGGCGGGCGUCUAAGUCAGUGGUGAAAUCUUACAGCUCAACUGUAAAAUUGCCAUUGAUACUGGAUGUCUUGAAUUAGUGUGAAGUGGUUAGAAUGUGUAGUGUAGCGGUGAAAUGCAUAGAUAUUACACAGAAUACCAAUUGCGAAGGCAGAUCACUAACACUAUAUUGACGCUGAGGGACGAAAGCGUGGGGAGCGAACAGGAUUAGAUACCCUGGUAGUC